rnacentral:rRNA from 1 species
AAACUUUCAGCUAGAGUAUGAUAGAGGAAAGCAGAAUUUCUAGUGUAGAGGUGAAAUUCGUAGAUAUUAGAAAGAAUACCAAUUGCGAAGGCAGCUUUCUGGAUCAUUACUGACACUGAGGAACGAAAGCAUGGGUAGCGAAGAGGAUUAGAUACCCUCGUAGUCCAUGCCGUAAACGAUGUGUGUUAGACGUUGGAAAUUUAUUUUCAGUGUCGCAGGGAAACCGAUAAACACACCGCCUGGGGAGUACGACCGCAAGGUUAAAACUCAAAUGAAUUGACGGGGACCCGCACAAGUAGUGGAGCAUGUGGUUUAAUUCGAAGAUACGCGCAGAACCUUACCAACACUUGACAUGUUCGUCGCGACUCUAAGAGAUUAGAGUUUUCGGUUCGGCCGGACGAAACACAGGUGCUGCAUGGCUGUCGUCAGCUCGUGUCGUGAGAUGUUGGGUUAAGUCCCGCAACGAGCGCAACCCUCACUUUUAGUUGCCAUCAUUAAGUUGGGCACUCUGAAAGAACUGCCAGUGAUAAGCUGGAGGAAGGUGGGGAUGACGUCAAGUCCUCAUGGCCCUUACGUGUUGGGCUACACACGUGCUACAAUGGUGUCUACAACAGGAAGCAAGACUGCGAAGUUAAGCAAAUCCCUAAAAGAUACCUCAGUUCGGAUUGCACUCUGCAACUCGAGUGCAUGAAGCUGGAAUUACUAGUAAUCGUGGAUCAGCGUGCCACGGUGAAUGCGUUCCCGGGUCUUGUACACACCGCCCGUCACACCAUGGGAGUUGGUUCUACCUUAAGGCAAGGUUUCAAACCCUUGACCACGGUAUAGUCAGCGACUGGGGUGAAGUCGUAACAAGGUAGCCGUA